GCAUGGAUCAUUAUAGUGUAUUUUUCCAUAGUGUCCCCUGCCAGAGCAAACUGUAGCUCCAAACCUUUGCUUGGCCUCUGUAAGCUGCUGUCACUGAAGUGGGUUGCACAACA
rnacentral:snoRNA from 1 species